GGCGCCUAAUUGAUACUCGCUGUUUGCGAUACACAGCAAGCGGCUUAGCGAAAGCGUUAAGUAAUCCACCUGGGGAGUACGUUCGCAAGAAUGAAACUCAUAGGAAUUGACGGGGGCCCGCACAAGCGGAGGAACAUGUGGUUUAAUUCGAUGAUACGCGAGGAACCUUACCCGGGCUUGAAAUGCAUCUGACCGGCACAGAGACGUGCCUUCCCUUCGGGGCAGAUGUGUAGGUGCUGCAUGGUUGUCGUCAGCUCGUGCCGUGAGGUGUCGGCUUAAGUGCCAUAACGAGCGCAACCCUCAUUGUUAGUUACCAUCAGGUUAAGCUGGGGACUCUAACGAGACUGCCAUCGUAAGAUGCGAGGAAGGUGGGGAUGACGUCAAAUCAGCACGGCCCUUACGUCCGGGGCGACACACGUGUUACAAUGGGUGGUACAAAGGGCAGCUACAUGGCGACAUGAUGCUAAUCUCUAAAACCACUCUCAGUUCGGAUCGAAGUCUGCAACUCGACUUCGUGAAGCUGGAUUCGCUAGUAAUCGCGCAUCAGCCACGGCGCGGUGAAUACGUUCCCGGGCCUUGUACACACCGCCCGUCAAGCCAUGGAAGCUGGGGGUACCUGAAGUCCGUAACCGUAAGGAGCGGCCUAGGGUAAAACUAGUGACUGGGGCUAAGUCGUAA
rnacentral:rRNA from 1 species